rnacentral:rRNA from 1 species
GAUCAUGGCUCAGGACGAACGCUGGCGGCGUGCUUAACACAUGCAAGUCGAACGAGAAUCUGUGGAUCGAGGAUUCGUCCAAGUGAAGCAGAGGACAGUGGCGGACGGGUGAGUAACGCGUGAGGAACCUGCCUUUCAGAGGGGGACGAACAGUUGGAAACGACUGCUAAUACCGCAUGAUACAUUUGGGUGGCAUCAUCUGAAUGUCAAAGAUUUAUCGCUGAAAAG